GGGAGGUUAGCUCAACUGGUUAGAGCAGCGGACUCAUAAUCCGUUGGUUAUGGGUUCAAGUCCCAUGCUUCCCA
rnacentral:tRNA from 1 species